UUGUAGUAUAAACAAUACUAUUUCCUUCCAAGAAAAAAAUCUAUGAAACAUAGCAA
rnacentral:tRNA from 1 species